ACGCGUAUUCUCGGGUUGAUAAUACAUUCGUGAUGUUAUUGCUUGAGAAUACACGUAG
rnacentral:pre_miRNA from 1 species